rnacentral:rRNA from 1 species
GUGCCAGCCGCCGCGGUAAUACGUAGGGCGCAAGCGUUAUCCGGAAUUAUUGGGCGUAAAGAGCUCGUAGGCGGUCUGUCGCGUCGGACGUGAAAACCCAGGGCUCAACCCUGGGCCUGCGUUCGAUACGGGCAGACUAGAGUUCGGUAGGGGAGACUGGAAUUCCUGGUGUAGCGGUGAAAUGCGCAGAUAUCAGGAGGAACACCGGUGGCGAAGGCGGGUCUCUGGGACGGUACUGACGCUGAGGCGCGAAAGCGUGGGGAGCAAACAGGAUUAGAUACCCUGGUAGUCC